GCUAGGGGGCAUAGCGCUUACCGAACCUUAUCAAACUCCGAAUGCCACAUACUUUGAGCUCGGCAGUCAGACUACGAAUGAUAAGAUCCGUGGUCAAAAGGGAAACAGCCCAGAUCGUCAGCUAAGGUCCCAAAGUGUAAGUUAAGUGGGAAAGGAUGUGAGAUUUCUAAGACAACUAGGAUGUUGGCUUAGAAGCAGCCAUUCAUUAAAAGAGUGCGUAAUAGCUCACUAGUCGAGAGAUCUUGCGCCGAAAAUGUAACGGGGCUAAACUUACCACCGAAGCUACGGGCUUGAACUUAGUUCAAGCGGUAGGAGAGCGUCGUAACCGGGCUGAAGUCGUACCGUAAGGAGCGGUGGACUGGUUACGAGUGAGAAUGUUGGCAUCAGUAGCGAGAUGUGGGUGAGAAUCCCACAGGCCGAAAACCUAAGGUUUCCUCAGGAAGGUUCGUCCGCUGAGGGUUAGUCGGGACCUAAGCCGAGGCCGAAAGGCGUAGGUGAUGGACAACUGGUUGAUAUUCCAGUACCACUACCAUCGUUAUUAUCGAUGGCGUGACGCAGGAGGAUAGUGUGUGCUAGCUAUUGGAUGCUAGUCUAAGCGUUUAGGCAGUGAGAGUAGGCAAAUCCGCUCUCAUAAUGCUGAGGCGUGAUGGGGAAGGUUCUACGGAACUGAAGUACAUGAUUCCACGCUGCCAAGAAAAGCGUCUAGAGAGAGAAGUAGUGCCCGUACCGCAAACCGACACAG
rnacentral:rRNA from 1 species